rnacentral:tRNA from 1 species
GCCUGGAUAGUCUAGUGGUUAAGACAUCCCCGCAGUUGGGAAGGCCUAGGUUCAAUUCUUAGUCCCGCCA